UUUUACUGGUCCUCACUCUUAAAAAGGCUUAUAAAUCAAAUUUAAAUCGUGUUCUGCACAUAUUUCUGUGAUGGGUACGUUUAGGAGUAUAGGGUUUGGGUUAGGUGAUAGAAAAUAUCACCAACCUGAUAUAAAAUCAGUGGAAGUCUAUGCAACAUCCUAACUAAGAUAUAGCGAAACAAACAUGUGUGCAUGUUAUUGCUGAAGAAAUAUUUUUUACAGGCUGUUGCACUUUAGAUCUGCUUGAUUAACUCUGAAUCUCUUAAAGGGAAGUGAAAGACUCUCAGAAUGACUGAUAGAGCUGUUUUUCAGAAGAAUGAAACAUCACAGUUUCCAUCUCUGUCUCUCUUUAGCUGCGGCUCGUCCCACUCUCACAGUGCUGCCGCCCUCCAGAGACGAGCUGCAGCAGGGUAAGGCUACAGUGCUGUGUGUGGCCAGUAAGGGAUUCCCCUCUGACUGGAAGCUGAGCUGGAAGGUGGACUGCAGCAGCAGGAGCUCUGGUGUCAAUCUGAGUCCCAGUCAGCUGCAGAAGGAUGGACUGUACAGCUGGAGCAGCAGCCUGAGCCUCACUGAGAGUGAGUGGAGCAGAGCAGCAACCGUCAGCUGUGACGCCACUCACCCAUCCCACAGUGCAGUGACCAAGACCCUCAACACACAGCAGUGCAAUGAAUGAAACAAACAAACACACACACACACACACACACCUGUUAGUAUGCUUCUUGCUGUUAGUAUAUUGCUCACAAAUACUUAUUUGUUGUAAUUCUGCAACUGCAAUUCUCUGAAAGUUUUGUUGCUCAUUUUAUUCUUGCUGCCAAAUAAAAGCAUUUUAUCUCAA